GGAAUUGUGGCUCAGUGGUAGAGUGCUUGCCUGGCAUGCAUGAGACCCUGGGUUAGAUCCUCAGCACCA
rnacentral:tRNA from 1 species